AUGGGUUUAAUACGGAGUCACCCAGGGUCAGACUUAGCUAUUCCGGAGGUUGAAAAAGUGAUUUUCACAAAGUGCUCCAAAUCAAGAUCUGAGAUCAGGAAUAGAUCGGCGUCAUUCAUGCGAAUACAACGAGCCCAAGAACAUCAAAUUCCGAGUUUGUAUGAAGAAAUGGAGGCCAUUUUACCGGAGAAGGUCGGGACAAAAGACGACGUUUCAUGCGACCGCGGCCAGUCAUUUGGCUGGUCGUAUGACCUGCAGACAGCUCCGAAAGUUGCCUCUCCAGGCAGGAUUAUUCACCGAUUUUGUCCCUAA
rnacentral:rRNA from 1 species